AAUGUUGAAGGAAUGAGAUUUUCUUUCUAACACACCAGGUUUGCUUAAACAUGUAAAAAUUUAACGCCACGUCAUUUCAGCUCGGGAUGGACGCCAUAUUUCUCAUUGAUAAAAAUGUAAACAAAAAAAAUCAGAGUGGGAUUAACAUUGCAAGGGCAUAACAUGACAUUCUACACAAUGAAUACCUUAGAACAGAUAUCUAAGAUGCUACACAGGUCAGGCGGGUUAAAUGCAUAAUGGCGAUCACUUGGAAUUCAUCUUGAAACUGUGGUUAAUUUUAGUUUAUUUACAUGGUUUUUAAUUUUCCCACGACUUCUCGGCGAUUCACUGCAAAUGUAUUACUGCGCCGGACGAAAGGUAACUCUAAUAAACAACGGGAGACAACUUAGGUGUCAGCACGUGUACGAUUUUUAAAAAAACAUGUCGAUGGUUAUAAUUUCUUAUCAAAUAAUGAAUCCUAUUCAGAUAUUCGUCUUUAAUAUUAGGAAAUUAUUAAUUUCUGUGGACAUUUGUCAAAAAAUAUUACUUACAUUGGACUACUUUGCGCAUCAAACUGGUUUCCGCUUCAGUUGUGAGGCACUUCCGUUAUACUUUUUGACAACAAUAACAAAACGCAAAACGAAUCAAUAAAGUCACUUAUAAACCGACUGCUACUUAAAUCAGUGUAAGUAAAGUUGUUGUUACAACAUUAUACAUGUUCGUUACGUUAUGAGAUAAAGUUUAUCUUGAAUUGCAUAAUCCAUUAAUUACGUUUAGAUGAUAUUGCAUUUACAACUUAUUUGACCCCAUUUUUUUACGUGAAUGACAGCAUUCUCGUGCAACCCGUGCAAACAGAGUUAUGAAAAGUAUGGUGGAGAAUUCAAGGACAAAAUAUAAAUGACAUUAAAGUGAGGAUAAAUGUAUAUUCGUCCAGUUUUGAUCAUUGACAUGCCUGCUGUGUAUUAGUAACUUUUGUGAACAAGAUUAGAAUGUUACUUUUGCACAUAAACACAUUGAUUGGACCUCUGAACCAAAUUUCAUGCCUCAUUUUAGGGAUUUUUAAGACAAUACAUUUUCAAAAGUUUGUUGAAUGUGUUUUGAUAUUUAAGUGCAUUGUAGUCCAUGAAUACCAAGUUAAAAAUUACUAAUGGCAACAUUUCUAGGCCCUUAUUGUAAGCCACUAGACUUCUGUAACGAUAAAUGUUUAAUAUAUCAAGGGGAAUAUACUCUUUUAGAUUUGGAAUGUGGCAUUCCUUGACCACCGUAUCUUUUCUUAUGCACUACUUUGUAAACAAACUAAAUAAUGUGUUUUAGCUUACAUAUGCGAAAUGAAAAGCAAGACAGUGACCAUAUUUCACAUUAUUUCUUUAAAUUAGAAUCUGUAGGACAUUGAUAAAUGUUUGGACAAGGUGAAGCACUAUUAUUUUUGCACCAAAAAGUCUUAAUUGUUGACUUUGAAUGUACACAAUAAGUCUUACGUAAUUCAACAAUAACUUUCUUGUUUCAGUUUUCUCAUUUUUAUUUUAGUAAAAUCCUUUGUGUACUUAUAACAGUUGAAACAGUAUCCAUUUCAUGUACCAAAACCUUGUACUUUUUUGCAGGUAAAUUUUAUCAUACCCCACCCACUUUUUCUAAUUUCAAAGUAUGCGUCCCCUUAAAGCCCAUGUAUGUUUAAUAGUGUAUUUGUAAAGAGAAUAACAUAUAUAGCAAGAUUUGGAGAACCACUUAAGAGGAAUCAUUUUGCCACAAAACUGUCAAAAAAAGAUUCUGUUGUGCAUAUCAUGUGAGGAAGCCAUCCAGCUCUGCGACCAUUUUAGAGGCCACAGUUGUGACUCAGCCUUUAUGAAACUUGGUAAGAAUGUUUGCCUAAAUGAUCACUAGGUCAGGUUUGAAUCUGGGUCGUAUGUGGUCAAAACAUAGAUCACAUGGUCAGACCAAAGGAAAAGCUUGUGAACACUCGAGAGGCAAUAGUUUUGACUCAAUCUUUAUGAACUGAAUCAGAAUAUUUGUCUUGAUGAUUUCUAGGUCCAUUUGAAACUGAGUCAUGUAGUGUUAAAAACUAGGUUACUAGGCCUGAUCAAAGGAAAACCUUGUUAACACUCUAAAUACCACAAUUUAAGUUUUAAACUCAUGCAAAUAAGUCAGAAUGUUUGUCUUGAUGAUCUAUAGUUCAAGUUUGAAUCUGUGUCAUGUGGGAUAAAAAACUAGGUCACCUUGUUAAAUCAAAGCAAAAGCUUGUGAACACUCUUAGGCUACAGUUGUGACCCAAUCGUUAUAAUGUUGAAAAUUCAUAAACCAACACAGUUUUGUCAAAACAAGUUUCGCUUUAAUAAGCUUCUUCAGUUGACAAUAACAUACCCAAUCUUUAUGAAACUUGGUCAGACUGUUUGCCUUGAUGAUCUCCAGGUCAAAUUAGAAACUGAGUUAUAUGGGGUCAAUAACUAGGUCAGUAGGCCAGAUCAACUCUGGUGAGCGAUAUAGGGCCAUCAUUGCCCUCUUGUUUAGGUGAAAAAGAUAUAUAAAUUGUUAUGAUUAUCAGAUUAAUUUGUAUAUUCAAUGUUUUUGGUAUAUAUAUAGUAUAAAAAAUUAUAUUAAGGUUAUAACACA